rnacentral:lncRNA from 1 species
GGAGGUUGCUGUGAGCCGAGAUUGCGCCACUGCAUUCCAGGCUGGGCGACAGAGCGAGACUCAAUCUCAAAAAAAUUGUGCCUGUUCUUUCCUCUGGAGACGGGUAGAGCAGCCUCACAGGGUACGGCCAGGAGGGAGGCACCCCGUGGAAGAGGCAUCUCAGGCACGGUCUCGGGAAGGAUCGUGGUUGUGCCAGAAGGAUUGUUUCCUCCAGCCUACUCCUGAACCUGGAAACCAGCAGCUGCUCUCUCAAUCAAGGAGAAAGAAAGUAGAGGCCGCACCUUCCUUACGUGGUGCUCAUGGAUUCAGGGAAGAAACCCAAAUCAUGACAUGAAGGUCUGCUGCACCUUGCUGGAGGUCCACUCCAGGCCCUGUUUGCGUGGGUAUCACCAGCGGAGGCUGCAGAACAGAAAGAUUGCUGCCUGGCCCUUCCUCUGGAAGCUUCAUCCCAGAGGGGCACUAGCCUGAUGCCAACCAGAGCUCUCCUGUAUGAGAGAUGCCCUGCCCAGUGAGGAGGACUCUAGAGAGGCAGUCUGGCCACAGCCGCUUUGCAGUCCUGUGCACAUCCAGUACUUCCUAAAAGAGCAGAUGGGACCAUAGCAAGAAUCUCUUUGCUGCCCGACACAUGAGAAGCGGCCUGCCCAGCUGGCACUUGCUCUCCUACAACCAGCCUCAACAAGGCAUCGAGCUGCCUGCACCAGUGACAGCAAAGCAGCACCUGCCUGUCUGCAGCUCAGGGAUUUUCUCUCGCCCUCAGUCGUACAGCCUUAGCCUUCCAGGUGGUUUCUAGGGCUGGGUAACUAGUUCCUUCUGGGUUGGGGAAUGGGGAACAAGUGUAAAAGUUAUUUUGGCUCAAAUACAAGAUUGACAUUUGGUUUUAGAAAUAGGAAUAUUUGUUAUGCAGCUUCCAUUUUAUGAAAAUGAGGGAUAUGUUUUCCAUCCUCUUACCUAUUUAAUCAACAAAGGUCUUAAUGGAGAUGCAGUGGGCAGCUGGAUUCUUAAAAUGCCAGCUCCUUCCCAACAUCCUCUAAAUCAGACAUUUCUGUCUAAGCAUGCACCUGCAAAAAUGAUAUGUUGUUUUCCAGCUUCACUGCAAGAUCCUUGCCAGAAUUCAGGAUAGGUAUCUCAAGGAUAUCAUUACAAGUUCCAAAUAAUGCCAUCUUUCAUGCUUGAAAAGCCAUGACUGUCUGGUCCCUGCAGGGAGUAGCUGGUGCCUUCAGUGGGGAGGGGUUCGAGCGUGAGCAGCUCAGGAACGUUGUGGUCUACGGUUCAGCCACAUCCUUUGUGGUAAGAAACUGCAACAAAAUGUACUUUAUAUUUUUAUAAUCAGCUGGCUUUUAAAUUACAGCCAUGCUGAAUAAGAGCAGAGAAAACGUAUGAUUAGUAAUUUCCUUAUGCAGAAAGUAGAACAGUUUCUGGCUAAGGCCUAGGGCUUUAAAAAAAAGGUGCUUUUAGUAAAAAAAAGAAAAUGGAAAAUUCUUUAUUCCAAAGCCAAAGCAAUGGUUCAUGGCCUCCUUCUGAGCAGUAAUAGUCCAACUCCACGAGGAAGUGGAAAUGGAAAAGAUUAGCUUGGGAAAAUAUUCUAAGGGCUGUCUGCCUGCCCAGCCACUGUCACCUAUAUACUGAGCCACCUUCUCUGGUCCUUACAAGCACAGAAAAAUGGAUCUGUGGCAGUCAUGGUUCCUGGACUUCUAGAAAUGACUAUAUUCCAGGAGAUGCAGAAAUGCUACUGAACAUGGAUGUGCAGCACCACAGAAAACCUAUGUGGGAUCCUGAUCACCAGUGGAAGCCCGGCUCCUUAGAGAGCUAAGGUUCUCACUCUAUUACCCAGGCUGGAGUGCAGUGGCACAAUCAUGGCUUACUGUAGCCUCAACUUCCUGGGCCAAGAUGGAACAAAGAAAAUUCCCAGGCCCGGGAACCACCAGAGGUACUACCUUAUUUGCUCAAAAGGUAGGUUAUGCCCAUAAGGGGCAGACCACGCAUGGCUCUACCUCUCUCUCUCUCUCUACACACACACACACUCUCUCUCUCUCUCUCUCUCUCCUGCUUUUAUUGUGCCAUUUUGGAUCUGUAGGAACUUGGGCUUGAAGAGCUACAUGAUCUGAAAUUCAGCAUGUAUCAGCUAGUAGGUUUAGGUUAUGUCCCGAGAGGGAUGUGCCUCCAGGUGGCUGUGACCUCACUUUCACAGUUCAUGCAGAGGAAAGUCAUCCUUGUGGUCCUGGGAGAGCUGGUCUGUUGCUGCCCAGGUUUGCCUGCACUGCCAGCAUGGCUCUCACAGCCCCCCAAAUUGUUUUCCUCUGAAAGGUUCAAAUCUUGACUCUGAAACAGACCUCAUAAUGAAACACCUAUGGGAAAAGUCUAUUCUCUGGCCUCUUUCCUGAGCUCAAUAAUGUUUAAUUUUUAAAAGCGGGGGAGGGAGGGAGGGAAAGAAGAAGUCUCUGAUAUUUCUCCAGUGCACUUGGCUCUCAUAGAUGGCCUUGGCCAAAACUCACCACCAGCGAUUGUGCCAGAACACCUGGUUUGAAUUCUGGCUGCCAUGCUGCUUCAUUUAAUGAGAUGGUCCCAACUUACUUUACUAUUUAAAAAGAAUUUGAGGCCAGAUGCAGUGGCUCAUGCUUUUAAUCUCAGCACUUUAGGAGGCCGAGGUGGGCUGAUCAUGAGGUC